GAUGAACGCUAGCUACAGGCUUAACACAUGCAAGUCGAACGAAGCGUCUUAAAGGAAGUUUUCGGAUGGAAUUUGGGAUGACUGAGUGGCGGACGGGUGAGUAACGCGUGGAUAACCUGCCGUCAUACAGGGGGAUAACAGCUAGAAAUGGCUGCUAAUACCGCAUAAGACGCACAGUGCCGCAUGGCAGUGUGUGAAAAACUCCGGUGGUAUGAGAUGGAUCCGCGUCUGAUUAGCCAGUUGGCGGGGUAACGGCCCACCAAAGCGACGAUCAGUAGCCGGCCUGAGAGGGCGACCGGCCACAUUGGGACUGGAGACACGGCCCAA
rnacentral:rRNA from 1 species